AUGGACCCCACCCGUGCCCUCCUCGAGCGUCUGUCCGACGGCGCGGUCGCCGGCGUGGUUGACUUCCGGGGCGACCCCGCGCCGCGCGCCUCCACCGGCCGAUGGCCCGCCGCGAUGUUUGUCCUCGUUGUGGAGAUCGCGGAGAGGUUCGCGUACAACGGCGUGUCGGCGAACCUGAUCAGCUACCUGACGGGGCCGCUGGCGGAGUCGACGGCCACCGCCGCGGCGGCGAUCAACGCAUGGAGCGGCGUGGCCAUGAUGCUGCCCUUGCUGGUGGCCUGCGUCGCCGACGCCUGGCUCGGGAGGUUCCGCACCAUCGUGCUCGCCUCCAUCCUCUUCGUUGUGAGCCUGGGGAUGUUAACCCUGUCCUCCGCGCUGCCGGCGUUCCACUCGGACGGGUGCAGCAGCUUCACCGCGCUCUCGCUCGCGUGCUCCCCGUCCCCGGUGCAGGUGACCAUCUUCUACGUCUCCCUGUAUAUGGUGGCGCUGGCGGAGGCCGGGCACAAGCCAUGCUCGCAGGCGUUCGGCGCCGACCAGUUCGACCAGCACCACCCCAAGGAGUCCGUCUCCAGGAGCUCCUUCUUCAACUGGUGGUUCCUCGGCAUGUGCUCCGGCACCGCCGCCACCACCAUGGUCUCCAGCUACAUCCAGGACAACAUCGGCUGGGGCCUCGGCUUCGGCAUCCCCUGCCUCAUCAUGCUCUUCGCUCUCGCCAUCUUCUUGUUGGGCACCCGCAGGUACCGCUACUACACUUCCACCCACUCCAGCCCCUUCGCUCGCCUCGCCAGGGCCUUGGUUGCGCUCAUCACAGGCUCCAAAUCCAGCCAAUGUGCCAACACUACCCUUGCGGGUGAGGAUGCUGAGUUCAACGCGGAGCACCGCGAGGAAGUGAGGGGCCUGCUGCGUCUGUUCCCCAUCUGGACGACGUGCAUAAUCUACGCCGUCAUCAGCUCCCAGUCGCCGACGUUCUUCACGAAGCAGGUCGCGACGCUGGACCGGCGGAUCGGCGCCACUUUCCGCCGGCGGCGCUGCAGACGUUCAUCUGCCUGA
rnacentral:rRNA from 1 species